GAAACCGCGAUCGCUAAAUGAAAUUUGUUGAUGGAGAGUUCCGGCAAUUUGCCCUUUAUUCGGGCUUAGUCGUUUUAAAAGGAUGAUGAAAAAAGGCGGUUUGAAGCGAAAUUUGUCGAGCCUCCUGGGGCCCGAGAUAAUAAAAUCUUUUAAUUAUGAUGGCAUGCAGGGGAAAAAGGCUUUCCGUAACUUAGCUGAGCUUAACAAUAUAUUUUUUAACGCUGCCGAAGACGUGACAAUGCGGGAGCAAUAUCGAUCCGAAAGGAAAAGCGGAUUUAAAUUAAGCAAAAGUCGACAAUAUAAAGCAACUCAUUUGCUUAAGAAGCAAAGUAUUUAAUUGACCUUUAAUUUCCUAAGUAAUUCUAAUAUUUACUUUUA